rnacentral:rRNA from 1 species
UGCAAGUCGAGCGGAAAGGCUCCCUUCGGGGAGUACUCGAGCGGCGAAAGGGAGAGUAAUGCGUGGAUCAUCUACCCCCGGGACCGGGAUAGCGGCGGGAAACUGUGGGUAAUACCGGAUAACGUCUUCGGACCAAAGGUGCGAUUCCGCCCAGGGAUGAGUCCACGCCCUACUAGCUUGUUGGUGGGGUAAUGGCCUACCAAGGCAACGAUGGGUACCGGGCGUGAGAGCGUGAUCCGGCUCACUGGGACUGAGACACUGCCCAGACACCUACGGGUGGCUGCAGUCGAGAAUCUUCGGCAAUGGACGAAAGUCUGACCGAGCGACGCCGUGUGUGUGAUGAAGGCCUUCGGGUUGUAAAAGACUGUCAGUUGUGAGGAAAUCUCAGGGGGCUAUGCCUCUGAGUUGACCUAGCUUCAGAGGAAGGACGGGCUAAGUUCGUGCCAGAAGACGCGGUGAGACGAACCGUGCAAACGUGAUUCGGAAUCACUGGGCUUAAAGGGUGCGUAGGCGGAAUAUCAAGUGGGGUGUGAAA